GACGAACCGUGCAAACGUUGUUCGGAAUCACUGGGCUUAAAGGGCGCGUAGGCGGGCAAGCAAGUCCGGGGUGAAAUCUUUCGGCCCAACCGGAAAAGGGCCUUGGAUACUGCUUGUCUGGAGGGAGGUAGGGGCAGACGGAACUUCCGGUGGAGCGGUGAAAUGCGUUGAGAUCGGAAGGAACGCCCGUGGCGAAAGCGGCCUGCUGGGCAGUUUGCUGACACUGAGGCGCGACAGCGUGGGGAGCAAACAGG
rnacentral:rRNA from 1 species